rnacentral:rRNA from 1 species
GUGUGAAUUGCAGAAUUCCGCGAAUCAUCGAGUCUUUGAACGCAAGUUGCGCCCGAGGCUUGUCCCGAGGGCAUGCCUGCCUGAGCGUCAUCGCAACCCCACCCCUCAGACCUUUGGGUCUCGAAGGAAGAGUGGAAUUGGCCGUCCGGAACCCCGGUGUCAAAGCUGGUGAUCGCGGUCGGCUGAAAUGCAGUGCUCUGGACGUGACCGAAAGAGAGGCCGCGAGAAGGUGAUCCGCCCCAACGGGUGGAGUCGAAUUUGACAGCGCCUCUCUCCCUUCGGCGGGUCCGGGAGUAACUACGGGGUCUUGCAAUAUGCAAGACCACGGAGAAUGGUUCGAUGGAUUGAUGUCAGGUUUUGUCCUGAUAUUUCACCAUGGGACUUAGAGCUUGGACCUCAGAUCAGGCAAGAUUACCCGCUGAGUUUAA